rnacentral:ncRNA from 1 species
CUCUUAUCAAGAGAGGCUGAGGGACGUGCCCGAUGAAGCCCAGCAACCGUCUUUUAUAGAAAAGGUGCUAAAUCACACGAAGCAGUUUGCUCCGGCAGAUGAGAG